rnacentral:rRNA from 1 species
GGCGCAGUCUGAUGGAGCACGCCGCGGUGAGCGAAGAAGGUCUUCGGAUCGUAAAACUCUGUUGUUAGAGAAGAACACGGGUGAGAGUAACUGUUCACCUGUUGACGGUAUCUAACCAGCAAGUCACGGCUAACUACGUGCCAGCAGCCGCGGUAAUAA